GACGAACGCUGGCGGCGUGCCUAAUACAUGCAAGUAGGACGCAGUUGCGAACGGGUGAGUAACGCGUAGGUAACUACCUAUUAGAGGGGGAUAACUAUUGGAAACGAUAGCUAAUACCGCAUACUAGUAGAUGGACCUGCGUUGUAUUAGCUAGUAGGGAGGGUAAUGGCCUACCUAGGCAACGAUACAUAGCCGACCUGGGAAGGUGAUCGGCCAAAAUUGGACUGGUGCACGGGCCAGACUCCUACGGGGAGCAACAAUAGGGAAUCUUCGGCAAAGGGGGGAAACCUGACCGAGCAACGCCGCGUGAGUGAAGGAAGUUUUCGGAUCGGAAAACUCUGUUGUUAAGGAAGCGGUACUUAACGAGAAAGGGACGGCUAACUACGUGCCAGCAGCCGCGGUAAUAC
rnacentral:rRNA from 1 species